rnacentral:rRNA from 1 species
AAGACCUUGCGCUUUUGGAGCGGCCGAUGCCUGAUUAGCUUGUUGGUAAGGUAAAAGCUUACCAAGGCUUCGAUCAGUAGCUGGUCUGAGAGGACGACCAGCCACACUGGGACUGAGACACGGCCCAGACUCCUACGGGAGGCAGCAGUGGGGAAUUUUGGACAAUGGGGGCAACCCUGAUCCAGCCAUGCCGCGUGAGUGAAGAAGGCCUUCGGGUUGUAAAGCUCUUUCAGCCGGAACGAAACGGUUACGGUUAAUACCCGUGACUACUGACGGUACCGGAAGAAGAAGCGCCGGCUAACUACGUGCCAGCAGCCGCGGUAAUACGUAGGGUGCGAGCGUUAAUCGGAAUUACUGGGCGUAAAGCGUGCGCAGGUGGUUUUGUAAGUCAGAUGUGAAAGCCCCGGGCUCAACCUGGGAACU